rnacentral:rRNA from 1 species
UUUUGAAUUUAAUUUAAAGUCUAAUCUGCCCACUGAUUUAAAAUUAAAGGGCUGCAGUAAUUUGACUGUACAAAGGUAGCAUAAUCAUUAGUCUUUUAAUUGAAGACUUGUAUGAAAGAUUUGAUGAGAUAUAAACUGUCUCUUAUUUAUAAUUAAAAUUUAAUUUUUUAGUUAAAAAGCUAAAAUAAAUUUAAAAGACGAGAAGACCCUAUAGAGUUUUAUAAUUUAUAAAUUAAAAUAUUUAUAUAAAAUUUUAAUAUUAAAUUUUGUUAAUUAUUUUAUUGGGGUGAUAAAAAAAUUUAAAAAACUUUUUUUUAAAAAUUUUCAUAAAUAAAUGAAUAAAUGAUCUUGAAUAAUGAUUAAAAGAAAAAAUUACCUUAGGGAUAACAGCGUAAUAUUUUUUUUUAGUACAAAUAAAAAAAAAAGUUUGCGACCUCGAUGUUGGAUUAAGAUAAAAUUUAAAUGCAAAAGUUUAAAAUUUUGAUCUGUUCGAUCAUUAAAAUCUUACAUGAUCUGAGCUCAAACC